GAUGAACGCUAGCGGCAGGCCUAAUACAUGCAAGUCGAACGGUGUCUUCGGACAUAGUGGCGCACGGGUGCGUAACACGUAUGCAACCUACCUUACAUUGGGGGAUAGCCUUUCGAAAGGGAGAUUAAUACCGCAUAAGACAGUAGCUGGGCAUCCAGCAGCUGUUAAAGAUUUAUCGAUGUAAGAUGGGCAUGCGUCCAAUUAGUUAGUUGGCGAGGUAAUGGCUCACCAAGACUUUGAUUGGUAGGGGAACUGAGAGGUCAAUCCCCCACACUGGCACUGAGAUACGGGCCAGACUCCUACGGGAGGCAGCAGUAGGGAAUAUUGGGCAAUGGAUGCAAGUCUGACCCAGCCAUGCCGCGUGAAGGAAGAAGGUCCUCUGGAUUGUAAACUUCUUUUAAUCGGGGAAGAAGAAUCACCUUGCGAGGUGAAGUGACGGUACCCGAUGAAUAAGCCACGGCUAACUACGUG
rnacentral:rRNA from 1 species